rnacentral:rRNA from 1 species
UACGGAGGGUGCAAGCGUUAUCCGGAUUCACUGGGUUUAAAGGGUGCGUAGGUGGGUUGAUAAGUCAGUGGUGAAAUCCCCGAGCUUAACUUGGGAACUGCCAUUGAUACUAUUGAUCUUGAAUACCGUGGGGGUCAGCGGAAUAUGUCAUGUAGCGGUGAAAUGCUUAGAUAUGACAUAGAACACCAAUUGCGAAGGCAGCUGGCUACGCGAAUAUUGACACUGAUGCACGAAAGCGUGGGGAUCAAACAGG